UGAGGGCCGUGCCCUGACAGGGCCUGGCGGGCGUGAGGGGUCACGGCCCAGGUACCCCCGGACAGCGGGAUGGCCCCUCCGGUUUGCCUUCACCAGAACCACUUUUAGAAGUACAAGAGGAGUGAAGGAAAAAUGUUUUCAAACUUCUGUGAAAAGGUACGGACUCCUGCAAUUCUUCAUCUGCACCUUCAGCACAUUGUACCUCAGACUGCAAAAGAAAGUUUCUUCAAAGUUUCCUUUUUGUGCACUGAACUAGAUUUGUUUGUUUGUUCUGCAGCCAAAUGCAAAACCUUCUCCAGCCAGGGCAAGUUUAACUGAGGCUCAUCCUUCUGGACCUGCUGCCAUCUGGGACUCUGACAUUGUGCCCUGCUGUACAUGGGGAUAAGAGGUGAAACACAGGAGAUGUUGUUACACACUGGGUUUUCUUGGCAUCUGACAAUAACUGGGUAUUGCUUCAUCAGUUUGAGUUAAUCAGUGCAUCCUUCAGUCUCCAAUGGCCCAGGUCAUGCUGUGCAUGGUGGGAGUAUCCUCAGCUGCAGUGUGUGCCCCACAGCUUCCCUGCAGACUGCCUGUGGUACCCACCUAAAGACACUCCUGGUAAUGUUCAGUGAGCAGAGCAGGAAGCACCACUCUGUAAAUCCUGGGAGAGUAUGCAGAAAAGCCAGUGUCACCUGUCUUCUGGAUGAAGCUGCUGGGAUAUAGCUGAAUUUUGCUCAGUUUCUGAAUUUCUCGGAAUUCUUACGUGAAUAAAGAUAGUAAGAGUUACCCAA